CCGAAGUCUCCCCCUCAGCCUUACCUCCCGCACCCAUCCCCGUCAGCCGAAAAUCACGCCUCUCAGAUUGCUCCUCCUCCCUCGCGCUCUCACGACGCCCCACCGAUCGACGCUGCCAGCGCGACGGCGCCCCUUCCCGCAUCCCUCUCACCAUGCCAUUGCCUCCCCUAACCCUAAUCGCGCCGCCGGUCGCGCGAUCUCCUCCCUUGCCGCCUGCGCGCACCGGUCUGCAUCCUUGCCGCAGGAUUUAAAGAAGCCACCUGCGCGCGGCGAUCCCUCCCUCACCUCCGCGCCCCCGGUCUGCAUCCGCGCUGCCCCCGAUGAUCCAUCAUCCAUGGCCCAGGUGCUGUUGUUGAGAACCUGUCCGCCCCAAUCAAACCUCUACACCAUCCUUGCACCUAAAGACCUCGCCUGCGGGAUCCCCUCUGGACCCGCGACGCCUGCCUCGAUGUGGACGCCGCCGAUCCAUUGCGGUUGUCACGAGGCACUGACCCUUCCACGGCAACCCCGUCAGGGCCACAGUCUGCUCCACCUCCGUGCUUUGCUACCACAUCUAGCUCGAUCCGGAACCCACCACCAUAACUUGCCGUCAUCAAAGUUGGUUGGUGUUCACAUAAUCGUGGUGAUCUUUCUUCUUAGCCAGUUAUGUGCUUGCCGGAGAAGUGAUGAAUCUGCCAACUGCAGCCAUGCAUCCAUUUGCUUCAUGCCUUACGAUGCCGUGUCUAAGAAGUCCUCCACUGCUCACCACCAUUCAAUCAUAUUUUUCAUAUGUGCAUUUUCAGGUUCAUAUAUCUGACCAAAUUAGAAACACGUUUCAGGUUCAUAUAUCUGACCAAAGUAACGCACUUGCCAAAUUCAGUUCCAGAACAACAUGCAAACUACCACUAAAACCAAAAGGUGACCCGAACAUAUCGUCAUGGUUCCACUGUUGGGCGGGCACAGAGGAGCAGCAGCCUACGGUGCUACCUGGAGACUAUAGGUGAGAUCAAGCUAAAGAUGAAUAAUUCAUUUUCAGACAUCGUCAUGAAUUGAAUUACUGACAGAUGCAAAUUAGAAACCUGACAAGCUAUCAUGAACUAACACAAGAAAAUAAUACACUUUUUACAAAAGCCUAAAUCAUCUUGUACUAUGUAGCAUUCAAUCUUGACAAAACUGAAAAGAGGGCUACAUAUUUCUUCUGUCCUUGCUGGAGGUUGGAAGUUGUAUGCAGCUAGCUAGAUCACUUUCUUAUCACAUUAUUAUUGUUGCUUCACUAGCUAUAAUUUGGAUUCGAACUUGAUAUAUAUGCAGUUCCAAGUUGUAUGGUAGACUGGGAGACUUGUCUAUUCUCGAUCACUUUUCGACAGACAGACAGACAGACACAAAAUUUGAUUCUUGUCCCUUCAAUGAUCUAUUUUUAUAUGCUGUAGUGUACUUUAGUUUGUGCUUUUGCAUGCUCAAUUUGGAUUGAUGUGAGUUGGUAUGGACGGGAGCUAUGAUGAAUUGUCUAAUUUUGAAAUCACUCAAUUACAAAAUUUUGUGGAUAAACACCAUUUUCUCCUGGAGUGAUGCAGCAUAGCUUCUAGCUGACUAGCUAUUGAAAGUCUGUCCGUUAACUGCACUCUGGACUAGAGAUGCAUAUGGAAGCAAUUUGUUAUGGUUUAACUCUAAUCACGAUUGGUGAAUAUGAAAAUAUUUUUGUGAAAGAGAUUAAUAAAGCAAGGCGAGUAUUAAUUUGUCACUACUUAAAUUUUAUGUUUUGGCGUAUUGCUGUAAUUAGUUGUGGUCCCAAAAAUACUGUUACUAUGCCCCUGAGAAUAUUACUGAUUUGUUUGUUUGGCUAGGUUUCACCUCAUCAAGUCGCUAUACUGGUUGAUGUAUCCAGAAUUGGCGUGGCCACAAUUGUUCUAGGAUUUAUAUAUCGCUAAUUUAUUUUCGAUCAAUUUUCUUUUCCUUUUCGGAAAAUGUGAGCAUUUCAAUAGAAUAUUCUUUUUCAUUCUGAUGUUUCAGUAUUCGUACAAAGAGAAGCACGCCAUCCUGAUCGAGCUGAUUGUAACCUCGGUUUCUUUUGCUCAAUUUUUUCAUAAAUCUGGGGAUUGGGAAUUUCUACUCGUGGAGCAACAACGUUUCUAUUUUUCUUUUCUCAGCACAUACGUGGAUCACGAAGUCAUUGUUAUUCCAUCCUUCAAAUCCAAAGCUCAUUGUUACUUGUUCGAUGGAUGGUUUUUACUCUUUGGAUCUCGAAGGGAUAAAGUUGAGCAAUGACUUAAGAGUUGAGCAACUUUAUCCCUUUGUUUGUGCGCGCGGAAAACAAAGGGAUAAAGUUGGAAACCAUGACUUAAGAGUUAAGAACACACCUAAAUUAAGAGAGAACUAGCAUGGUGGUCCGCGCAGAUUGCGCGGCUAUUAUCAUUAUAUUUUCUCUCAUAUAAUAGCAUAUAGUAUAUUUUUUGCGCG